AGCAGCCGCGGUAAUUCCAGCUCCAAUAGCGUAUAUUAAAGUUGUUGCAGUUAAAAAGCUCGUAGUUGAAUUUCGGGAUUAGUAAGUUGGUCGUGCCUCUGGUAUGUACUGGCUUUACUGGUUCCUCCUUCUUGAAGAACUGUAAUGUCAUUAAUUUGGUGUUGCAGGGAAACAGGACUGUUACUUUGAAAAAAUUAGAGUGUUUAAAGCAGGCUAACGCUUGAAUACAUUAGCAUGGAAUAAUGAAAUAGGACGUUUGAUCCUAUUUUGUUGGUUUCUAGGAUUGACGUAAUGAUUAAUAGGGAUAGUUGGGGGCAUUAGUAUUCAAUUGUCAGAGGUGAAAUUCUUGGAUUUAUUGAAGACUAACUACUGCGAAAGCAUUUGCCAAGGGUGUUUUCAUUAAUCAAGAACGAAAGUUAGGGGAUCGAAGACGAUCAGAUACCGUCGUAGUCUUAACCAUAAACUAUGCCGACUAGGGAUCGGAUGAUGUAAUUUUUAAUGACUCAUUCGGCGCCUUACG
rnacentral:rRNA from 1 species